rnacentral:lncRNA from 1 species
GUUUGAGAUGCUACCACAGUGUAAAUUAUCCUUUCCUGGGGCUGCUGUCACACUCCUCCAGGAGCCGGUGGGUCCCCCUCCUUCCACUGGAAGCCAACCCUGGUGAAGGUGAUGCCACCUCCUUGUCAGUGGGGCCACAGGGUGUCAAGGAGGAGAGGGACCUUCAUCCCUGCAGCGCCUGCUCUCCUUUUUCCGGAGCACACAGACACACCUGCCCGUGGAGCCGGGAUGCUGUAUUCCCACCACUCCGGCAGCGCCACUCGCAACAACUCCCAGCUGCUGCCAAAAGCCAGACCUAGCUUCCAGAAAUCACACCAGAGGCUCCAUUCCUCCUGCAGGAAAAAGCAGGAGAAAAAGGGGAACCCCCUCCCCCCACAAAAAAAAAAUUGACAGCAAAAUGUUAAUAUGUGGAGACAAGCUAAAAACCUUAGGAAGACCCAGGACUGAGCUUCAAGUCACGGAGGCUUUCUCAGAUAAUCUGUAUUCCUAUCUCAGUGCCAGCAGAGCUGUGAUCAGAAUAUCCAAGGUCUCAUAAAAGAUUCAGGGCUUAUUGACUUCCUUGCCUUUGCUGCCAGUUCGUGGUGCUCCUGCUCCUGCUCAGCCUCCAGAGCACCCACUGCCCCUUGCAAGUUGCCAUCACAGAUGCCAAAGUUGAAGACAUCUACCUCUGUGCAGAGCAGUGGAGGAAAGCUCUCCUCCUGAGCUGGAGGAUGGAUGAGAGAAGCACCUAAAGAGGGUCUUUGCCCCAGAGGGCAUCCCCAGCCCACACCAAACUCCUCUUAGACGUCCCCAUGGUCGCCCCCCAGCAGCACUGGCCACCUCUGUGGGUGGAAGGCAGAAGAUUUAUGAUUUAUUUUGAGUCACACCUUUAGGUGAAAUAAUCUCCAAGCUGAAAAAAAAGCGAGCUUACAGCAGGAACCCCCUCAAGAGCAGGCUUUGCCUCAGACUGCACGUGGGCCAGAUCUCCGAGGGCUGUCUCCAGCAGCACUGCAGCCCAAAUCUGCUGCAUAAGCAGCCCCGAGCAAAUGUGCCAACCAGAGAAUCCAGCCCCUGCAAAUUUAUGGUCAGAGUUACUCAGCCACAGCCCAAAGGAGAAGGGAUAGGGGCAGGCAUUCCUUUAGGAACACACUGCCCCACUGUCACUCGUGUACUCACUGAUUUUAGGCACAAAACACCAGGUGAAUGGUUGAACACGCUAUAAAUUGUGGAGUUUUACAUACUAGAGGCCUUCAUCCCUGAGUUACACAGAGAUGCCCGUGAAUACCACAUCAACCAAGCAUGAUAAAACCAUCAAACCCACCCAGUCACCUCAUUAAUUGUAUUUAUGCAUCACCUAAAGCCUUAUGUGCACACCAAGACUCCAUACUGGAAAGCACUGCAGGAUAUGGGAAAUAAACCCAUAUAAAAAUAAAAUAUUGCA